rnacentral:pre_miRNA from 1 species
UAGACAAAUUUUUGUAUUCGAGUGUAUUCACGGCGUGAAGCAGGGGAUUACAUUUGUUUUUAAACGGAAAGUGAAUUAAUUAACAUAAUAGACUCCU